rnacentral:lncRNA from 1 species
UGGGUCGUUUCAAGGGGAUUUGGGGCGGUUUGACGUUUUUGGGGGGCUGUCAACGAUUUUGGGGUGAUUUGGGGUCUUUUGGGGCACAAAGGGGGGUUUUGGGGGGUUUUGGGGCGUAGCAGCUGUCACCGGGCCAAUACCUGGUGAUUUUGGGGUGAUUUUGGGGGGAUUUGGGGCUUUUCGAGGCCUCGGCAGCCAUUUUGUGGUGGCCGGGAGCCAUUUUGGGCGGCGGGGGCCACGAUUUGGGGCAGAAUCGGGGCUUUUAGGGGCUGCAUUUUGGGGCAGAAUCAGGGCUUUUAAGGACUGCAUUUUGGGGCACAAUCGGGGCUUUCGGGGACUGUAUUUUGGGGCAGAAUCAGGGCUUUUAAGGACUGGGUUUUGGGGCAGAAUUGGGGCUUUUGGGGACCAUGUUUUGGGGCGGAAUUGGGGCUUUUAGGGGCCAAGUUUUGGGGUGGAAUAGGGGCUUUUGGGGACCAUGAUUUAGGGCAGAAUUGGGACUUUUGGGGGCCAUGUUUUGGGGCGGAAUCGGGACUGUGUUUUGGGGUGGAAUCAGGGCUUUUGGGGCUUCAUUUUGGGGUAGAACCGGGGUUUUCAGGGACCGCGUUUCGGGGUGGAAUCGGGGCUUUUGGGGACCGUGUUUUGGGGUGGAAUUGGGAGCACUUUUUGGGGUGGAAUUGGGGCUUUGGGGGAUUGUGUUUUGGGGUGGAAUCGGGACCACAUUUUGGGGUGGAAUCAGGGUUUUAGGGGCUGAGUUUUGGGGCAGAAUCGGGACCAUGUUGUGGGGUGGAAUUGGGGCUUUUGGGGACCGUGAUUUGGGGCAGAAUCGGGACUGCAUUUUGGGGUGGAAUUGGGGCUUUGGGGGACUGUGUUUUGGGGUGGAAUCGGGACUGUGUUUUGGGGUGGAAUUGGGGCUUUCAGGGACUGCGUUUUGGGGUGGAAUUGGGAUCAUGCUUUGAGGUGGAAUCGGGACUGUAUUUUCUGGUGGAAUUGGGGCUUCGGGGGGCUGAGUUUUGGGGCGGAAUCGGGACCGUGUUUUGGGGUGGAAUUGGGGCUUUGGGGGACUGUGUUUUGGGGUGGAAUCGGGACCACAUUUUAGGGUGGAAUCGGGGCUUUCGGGGCCGCAU